rnacentral:rRNA from 1 species
UAGCGCGGCUAUAGCACGUUGAAUGCACCAGUUCCCAAUGGAUCACUGAAGUUAAGCAACAUUGCGCGUGGUUGUUAUCCGGAUGGGUGACCAUCUGGACAGUCGCGUGCUGCUGCCU